rnacentral:rRNA from 1 species
CAACCGCGUGAGGGAUGACGGCCUGUGGGUUGUAAACCUCUUUUCUCAAGGAAGAAGCUCUGACGGUACUUGAGGAAUAAGCAUCGGCUAACUCUGUGCCAGCAGCCGCGGUAAUACAGAGGAUGCAAGCGUUAUCCGGAAUCACUGGGCAUAAAGCGUCUGUAGGUGGUUUAGUAAGUCUGCUGUUAAAGACUGGGGCUCAACCCCAGAAAAGCAGUGGAAACUGCUAGACUUGAGUAUGGUAGAGGUAGAGGGAAUUCCUAGUGUAGCGGUGAAAUGCGUAGAUAUUAGGAAGAACACCAAUGGCGAAGGCACUCUACUGGGCCAUAACUGACACUGAGAGACGACAGCUAGGGGAGCAAAUGGGAUUAGAUACCCCAGUAGUCA